rnacentral:rRNA from 1 species
GACGAACGCUGGCGGCGUGCUUAACACAUGCAAGUCGAACGGACAGGCCCUGCUUUUGUGCGUUGCUCGAGUGGCGAACGGGUGAGUAACACGUGUGUAUCCUCUCCUUGUCUUUGUGAUAACUUCAGGAAACUGGGGCUAAUACCGCAUAGGAGCUCCUGCUGCAUGGUGGGCGUUGGAAAGAUUCGGCGGUUUGGGAUGGACUCGCGGCUUAUCCGCUUGUUGGUGGGGUAGUGGCUUACGAAGGCUUUGACGGGUAGCCGGCCUGAGAGGGGGACCGGCCACAAGGGGCCUGAGAGACGGCCCAGACUCCUACGGUAGGCAGCAGGGGGGAAUAUUACACAAUGGGCGGAAGCCAGAUGCGGCAACGCCGCGUGCGGGAUGACGUGCUUCGGGUUGUAAACCGCUUUCGCCGGUGACAAAGCGUGAGUGACGGUAAUGGGUAAAGAAGCACCGGCUAACUACGUG